UGUGCCCCAGCUGCUGGUCACUGGCUGGUCACUUGUUCUUUAAUUUCAGAAUGUGUCUUGUCAACUUGCCUGGCUGGAAGCAGAGCUGUGCACCCUCAUUGACAUUCCUGGAAGACUCCCUAUCAACAAAGGAGUAUCACAUCAUGUAGGUGGUCUGAAGGAAGGUUUUCCUGUGCUCAAUCCAGACUGAUGCCUGUGAGUUCCUUCCAUCAACUUGGAAACACCACGGAGCUCUUAUUUGCAUCCUGUUUUGGAAAGCCCUUCACCCGUUUGUCAUCAGGUCCUUUUUGGCUGGUGUGAACAAAAGGUUCCCAAGUAAGAAAUGGAGCAGUGGAGUCACUGAUCACAAAGCAGAGGCCAGGUCCUCAGAGUUUGGGGGAAGACAUGGUAAGUCUCUAAUUCCUCCCCGCUCCAGGCCAUGUUCAUUCUGCAAGUGCUGCCUGCAAAAAUUACUUUGAGGAGUUUCAUUUUCUCUUCUGAAAAAUCAAGGAAGUCCCUCAUUAAGCUGUAACACUUUGAUAGCCAGGACAAAAUUGACUUAUUGCAUCCUAGGAAUCAGAAAAUGAGUCCUAAUAUCCAAUCCUGUGGUACAAGGGCUUGGAUAUUCAGUGCAAUUUUCUUGCCACAACGGCUAAGAACACAUUUCUCUUUAGUGAGUACAUUUUUCAUUUUUUAAGUGCUUGAGACCAAACACAAGGCUUCACACAUACUACACACAUGUUCUGCCUCUAAGCCACAAUCCUAGACCACACAAUUUCUAUUUAAGUAUUCCCAAGACCCU
rnacentral:lncRNA from 1 species